rnacentral:rRNA from 1 species
ACCCAUGUUUUUUGAGCACUUACGUUUCCUCGGUGGGUUCGCCCGCCGAUUGGACCACUUAAACCCUUUGUAGUUUUGUAAUCAGCGUCUGAAAAACUUAAUAGUUACAACUUUCAACAACGGAUCUCUUGGUUCUGGCAUCGAUGAAGAACGCAGCGAAAUGCGAUAAGUAGUGUGAAUUGCAGAAUUCAGUGAAUCAUCGAAUCUUUGAACGCACAUUGCGCCCCUUGGUAUUCCAUGGGGCAUGCCUGUUCGAGCGUCAUUUGUACCUUCAAGCUCUGCUUGGUGUUGGGUGUUUGUCUCGCCUUUGCGUGUAGACUCGCCUUAAAACAAUUGGCAGCCGGCGUAUUGAUUUCGGAGCGCAGUACAUCUCGCGCUUUGCACUCAUAACGACGACGUCCAAAAGUACUUUUUACACUCUUGACCUCGGAUCAGGUAGGGAUACCCGCUGAACUUAAGCAUAUC